UAAGGAAUAUUGGUCAAUGGACGCAAGUCUGAACCAGCCAUGCCGCGUGAAGGAUGAAGGUCCUCUGGAUUGUAAACUUCUUUUACCUGGGAAGAACUCCAUGGUUUCUACUAUGGUUGACGGUACCAGAUGAAUAAGCACCGGCUAACUCCGUGCCAGCAGCCGCGGUAAUACGGAGGGUGCAAGCGUUAUCCGGAUUCACUGGGUUUAAAGGGUGCGUAGGCGGACAGGUAAGUCAGUGGUGAAAUCUCCGGGCUUAACUCGGAAACUGCCGUUGAUACUAUUUGUCUUGAAUAUCGUGGAGGUGAGCGGAAUAUGUCAUGUAGCGGUGAAAUGCUUAGAUAUGACAUAGAACACCAAUUGCGAAGGCAGCUUGCUACACGAUUAUUGACGCUGAGGCACGAAAGCGUGGGGAUCAAACAGGAUUAGAUACCCCGGUAGUCC
rnacentral:rRNA from 1 species